GACGAACGCUGGCGGCGUGCUUAACACAUGCAAGUCGAGCGAUGAAGUUUCUUCGGAAAUGGAUUAGCGGCGAACGGGUGCGGAACACGUGAAGAAUCUGCCCUCCACUUUGGGAUAACACAGGGAAACCUGUGCUAAUACCGAAUAUUGAAACAUAAGUGGCAUCACUGAGUUUUGAAAGAAUUUGGGUGGAGGAUGACUUCGCGGCCUAUCAGCUAGUUGGUGAGGGAAUGGCUAACCAAGGCAACGACGGGUAGCCGGCCUGAGAGGGCGAACGGCCACACUGGGACGGAGACACGGCCCAGACUCCUACGGGAGGCAGCAGUGGGGAAUAUUGGGCAAUGGAGGAAACUCUGACCCAGCGACGCCGCGUGCGGGAUGAAGGCCUUCGGGUUGUAAACCGCUUUCAGUAGGGAAGAAGCGAAAGUGACGGUACCUACAAAAGAAGCACCGGCUAACUAUGUGCCAGCCGCCGCGGUAA
rnacentral:rRNA from 1 species